rnacentral:rRNA from 1 species
CCGCCAGAGAACUACAAGUGAAAAACUUGAAACUCAAAGGACUUGACGGUGUCCCAUAUCGACCUAGAGGAGCCUGUCCUAUAAUCGAUACUCCCCGUUCCACCCAACCUCAACUAGCAAAUUAUCAGCCUAUAUACCGCCGUCGACAGCCUACCCUAUGAAGGUUUAAUAGUAGACAAAAUAGCCCCACCGCUAAUACGUCAGGUCAAGGUGUAGUAAAUGUUGAGGAAGAGAUUGGCUACAUUUUUUAUCUUAAAAAUACGAAAAGCACUAUGAAACCGUCCAUGAAGGUGAAUUUAGUAGUAAAAU